rnacentral:lncRNA from 1 species
CUGUUUCUGAGCUCCUGCCCCCAAACAUGAGCUUCCAAACAAAGGUUUCCUAAGGAUUUUUAUAUCUGAGUGAAAAACAAACAUAUUUUUUUCUGCCUUUCUCCUUUCCCNCCUUUCUCCUUUCCCGCCCCCCCCCCCCCCCCCCUCCCCUGCCCAGGUGUGGACUGUAGAAUUCACCUGAGAGCUCCUUCAGUUAGCAUUUAACAGAACCUGCAGCAGUUGAGAGCAAGGUCAUCCUGCAUGUAGGCAGUGUAAAGAGCUUCAGCAGUAAGUGAUAACACCUCUUUCUGCCACGUGUAGGUGUGGGUAUACAUGCAGACCUGUGGACUGAUUUUUGGCAUAGGUCCUUUGACAAAUAGUAUUUAUCUGAGACCAGACCUCCAUCCAAAGAAAGUUUCUAAGCUUCUGGGAUGUGAUUGGGAAUGAUGCUUUGAACUGGGAUAUGGUGAUGAUGUGUGAAAGGAGGCUCACUGCUGGUCCACUGGCCAGGGACAAAAUGACCUCAGAAUGGACGUACUGUCAUCAUUCUAGCUUCUGUGAGUACUGUGAGAAAGGCUAACUCCUGGAGCCAGCACUAGGGAGGGAUGGAGCACCAUUGGUACAAGGCACAUAAGGAACUUGGCUGCAAAUCCAAAAGGACCUGAGAGUAGAAAGUAGGACAGUCCAGUGUGUGCAAACUGUGGGCUCCAAGGAGAAUCAUACACCUGCCCAUGUUGACUUCCUUGUCCCCACACCUCCCUCAGCUUUGACCUGCAGCUUUUCAACUGCAACUCUUCUGCUUUGCUGGGGUUUACAGAGAAUUAACUUGCUUACUCCCCACUUCCUCAACUCUUCAUUGCACAGACUUCCCAUGCAGAAAAGGCAGAGGUCUGUGGAAGACAUCCUUGGAGAUGUCAGCCUGAAAAGCAAACUGGAUUUUGGAAGAAAGAAUAAAAAAGGAAAAUUUAAGUAGUUAUAUCCUCUACAGUGCUGUGCAGAUUCCCUGUUGACUUUGGGAGUUCAGGCUUAAGAAAUCAGGUUGUUUAACCAGAUGUCAAGGAUGGACGGAUGACUUCAAAUGUCUUAAUACUGCAGUGCCUAAAAUGGCUGUAAAAGGGAAUAGGAGAGAUUAGAUAUAGCACUGAAUGGAAAUCAAACAGCUUUGACAUGUCUUUGGGCACCUGACAUGGGAGCAGCUGAAACCUCUAAUUACCUGGAAUUUUGGCUUCACUUGGGGAGCUGAGCACCACGCUUUCAUUUAAAAUAAAGGAGAGUU